AAGAAGAACAAGAUAAUCCACAUCCCAAAGAAUUCUUUCUGGUCGCCCGGCAUGAAAUUAACACGUGAAGCUUUAUUGAAGGCAACAUCGGCCCAGACCACUGCGCUUGUGGCUGCUGCGGAGGCUGCGCGCUCUUCCUUGGAGAUCUCGGAACUAGCUCAAAAGGCCCAGGACAUCUCGGUGAAAAGAGCACUUUGGGCACUGAAGACCAUCAAAGUGGCUGCAAAAGCAGAGGAAGUAGCAGUGAAUGCCAUACAAACCAUGUUCAUCUAACUGCUUGCAAACGUCAGAUCCCUGUUCUAAUUCAUGUACAUAUUUAAAUAGGCAGUAAAUAUCAUUGAAAAAAUA